rnacentral:ncRNA from 2 species
CUAUCAAUGUAUUAAUAACCAAAUAUAAUACCCAUAAUAUGGUUGGGUAGUAUCUACCGAUGUACCGUAAACACAUCGACUAUCGUGGUGAAAACUCGCAAGA